rnacentral:rRNA from 1 species
AGCGUGUCGGCUCCUCUCCGCAACGCAAGCCGCGGGAUCGGCCUCCGCCUCCCCAUGGCCUUCCAUUCCUCGGCCGCUCCCAUCCCCUUGGCCCCACCUCCCGGACCCGGAGCCUUCCACCGAGCCCACCGCCCCGCCGGAGCUCCCCGAGCCGGCGCGCCCGGGAGGAGUCUCGCCGCCCACUCGUCUCCCUCUCCCGACGUCGUGGUCACGCGCGAGCAAGGCAAGAACGCCAAGCUCGUCGCCUCUCUAGUAAGUUCAAAUCCCUGUGGGGAUACCCCUCCUCGUCUACUCUGUGAUUCCCUGAGCCGAUGUUGGUGAAUUUUAGAGGGGACGGUUUUACAUGCUCGCUGUAGAGAGGCGAUUUUCCGAGCUGAUUUUACAUCUCUAAACUGGGGGCUAACGAAUUCGGUCAGACCUUGGGGAAUUAUCACAUCAAUUUUGUAACUGGAUUGUGCAGGAGAAGCAUAAUGUGCACUCUCUGGAGCUUCCUCUUAUUCAGCACGUCGAAGGGCCUGAUGCAGAUAGGCUUUCAGCUGUCUUGCGGGAUGAAAAGUUUGACUGGAUUACUGUAACAUCUCCUGAGGCAGCUGCAGUGUUCCUUGAGGGAUGGAAGGCUGCUGGAAGUCCUAAGGUCCGAAUAGCAGUUGUUGGAGCAGGUACUGCAAGAACUUUUGAUGAAGUAUUGCAAUCCAGUGAUGGAUCCCUUGAGGUUGCAUUUUCUCCUUCCAAAGCUUUGGGCAAAGUUUUGGCCUCAGAGCUUCCAAGGACUAGUGAGACUGCCUCUAAAGUGUUGUAUCCUGCAUCCGCAAAGGCUGGCCAUGAAAUUCUACCUGCAUGAAAUAUUCAGUCUUUCUGUUACUUAGUUUUGCCCUGGGAUGCAGAGAAUGGGCUGUCAGCUCGAGGAUUUGAGGUGACAAGACUGAACACAUAUUCAACCGUACCUGUACAAGAUGUAGACCCACAGAUUUUAAAGCUUGCUCUUUCAGCACCAGUUGUUGCAGUAGCUUCUCCAUCUGCACUCCGAGCUUGGCUAAACCUCAUGUCACGGGUCGACAACUGGAGCAACUCGGUCGCCUGCAUAGGCGAGACGACGGCUUCAGCGGCCAAGAAACUCGGCCUGGAGAGCGUAUACUAUCCUGCAACCCCUGGACUCGAAGGGUGGGUUGAAAGCAUCCUGGAAGCGCUCAGAGCCCAUAAGCAAUCGUCCAAGUGAGGCGUCGGCAGCUCUCUUGAGUUUUCUUUCGCGGUUCCUGUCGUAACCUUCUCUGUUUCUCACUAGGCCCCAAAGUGUCGGAGACGAGCACGGUUGAUUGACCGGCCGCUGUAGCCUGUACUACUGUAGUAGGUGCAUUUUUUGAAGGAACAUGUGUUUUGUACUUCUGUUUCCUGCUAAUCACACACACGCUAUGCGUGCUUUUGCACCGUGCGUGAAGGGAGCCGGGGCAUCAUCGGCAUGUAAAUCUGUUGAGGCGUGCGGUACGGGCACGGCAUAUGCACAAGUGUUCCCUGAUUCACUGCAACUUCUCUUCUUUUUUUUAGAAAAAACUUUUCCUUUUGGCCAAGACAGUAACAUAUGUAGAUGUUUUCUGGCCCAAUGACCG